AUAUGGUCGACCUGCAGGCGGCCGCGAAUUCACUAGUGAUUCGUAUUACCGCGGCUGCUGGCCAUGAUCAAACUCUACGAAUUCCCGCGGCCGUCAUGGCACGGGAGUAUGAGGUUAGGGCCCAUUCGCCCUACUUAAAGUGCUUUACAAGACCUUCUUCACACACGCGGCAUGGCUGGAUCAGGCUUUCGCCCAUUGUCCAAUAUUCCCCACUGCUGCCUCCCGUAGGAGUCUGGACCGUGUCUCAGUUCCAGUGUGACUGAUCAUCCUCUCAGACCAGUUACGGAUCGUCGCCUUGGUGAGCCAUUACCCCACCAACUAGCUAAUCCGACCUAGGCUCAUCUGAUAGCGCAAGGCCCGAAGGUCCCCUGCUUUCUCCCGUAGGACGUAUGCGGUAUUAGCGUCCGUUUCCGAGCGUUAUCCCCCAGUACCAGUAAGAAUCCUAGGCAAUACUCACGCGUCCGCAGCUCUCCAUAUGGGCAAGCACCACUCUACCGCGAAUUCACUAGUGAUUCCUGCCGCCGCGUCUUCUGAGCCAUGAUCAAACUCUAAUCGAAUUCCCGCGGCCGCCAUGGCGGCCGGGAGCAUGCGACGU
rnacentral:rRNA from 1 species